CUCCAGCUUGCUGGGGGGAUUAGUGGCGAACGGGUGAGUAACACGUGAGUAACCUGCCCUUGACUCUGGGAUAAGCCUGGGAAACUGGGUCUAAUACUGGAUAUGACUGACUAUCGCAUGGUGGUUGGUGGAAAGCUUUUGUGGUUUUGGAUGGACUCGCGGCCUAUCAGCUUGUUGGUGGGGUAAUGGCCUACCAAGGCGACGACGGGUAGCCGGCCUGAGAGGGUGGACGGCCACACUGGGACUGAGACACGGCCCAGACUCCUACGGGAGGCAGCAGUGGGGAAUAUUGCACAAUGGGCGCAAGCCUGAUGCAGCGACGCCGCGUGAGGGAUGAAGGCCUUCGGGUUGUAAACCUCUUUCAGUAGGGAAGAAGCGAAAGUGACGGUACCUGCAGAAGAAGCGCCGGCUAACUACGUGCCAGCAGCCGCGGUAAUACGUAGGGCGCAAGCGUUAUCCGGAAUUAUUGGGCGUAAAGAGCUCGUAGGCGGUUUGUCGCGUCUGCCGUGAAAGUCCGGGGCUUAACUCCGGAUCUGCGGUGGGUACGGGCAGACUUGAGUGAUGUAGGGGAGACUGGAAUUCCUGGUGUAGCGGUGAAAUGCGCAGAUAUCAAGAGGAACACCGAUGGCGAAGGCAGGUCUCUGGGCAUUAACUGACGCUGAGGAGCGAAAGCAUGGGGAGCGAACA
rnacentral:rRNA from 1 species